UCUGGCUUAUAGCCUAGCGGUCUCGUUAGAGUGCCCAACUUAAUGAUGGUAACUAACGACGAGGGUUGCGCUCGUUGCGGGACUUAACCCAACAUCUCACAACACGAGCUGACGACAGCCAUGCACCACCUGUGCGGGCCCCGAAGGGAAGCCCUGUUUCCAGGGCGGUCAGGAACAUGUCAAACCCAGGUAAGGUUCUUCGCGUUGCGUCGAAUUAAACCACAUGCUCCGCUGCUUGUGCGGGUCCCCGUCAAUUCCUUUGAGUUUUAGCCUUGCGGCCGUACUCCCCAGGCGGGGAACUUAAUGCGUUAGCUUCGGCACGGACGGAGUCGACACCGCCCACACCUAGUUCCCAUCGUUUACGGCGUGGACUAC
rnacentral:misc_RNA from 1 species